rnacentral:tRNA from 1 species
GGUGUUGUGGCUCAGUGGUAGAGCACUAGCCUUGAGCUGAAGAGCUGAGGGACGGGGUUCAAGCCCCAAGACCG